GUGUGGGCAUUCCGCUUUGCAGAUGAGGUAAUAUUUGAAGUGCCAGCAUUAAUAUUGAAGAGGAAUGAAAUAUCUGAAUAAGAAGGCAACGGAAAACAGGUUUAUUAGAGCAGAUCCUUUUACGCAAGCCUGGAUCCAUUUAUUGUUCUUGGUGUAUAUCACUUGCAAGAAUAGUUUCUGUCAGAACGUUUCAUUAUGUUUUUUGUCUUGUCAUAUAACGUAAUGUGAGCAAUGGUUUACUUCAACACUCUCAAUAUUUCAUAACUAUAAAACACAAAAAAAAAUCACACUUUAUGUAUUAUAGCUGUGUGAAUGCAAUAACCAUCUACUGGCAAAAUAUACAACUGAAUUAAAGUGACACCAGCUUAUCAUAAGCUUUAUAUGAGUUUUACUAUGGCC